AGCGAACGCUGGCGGCGUGCUUAACACAUGCAAGUCGAACGUGAAAUGUAGCAAUACAGAGUAAAGUGGCGUACGGGUGAGUAACACGUGGGUAAUCUACCAAAGUGUCUGGAAUAACCGAUCGAAAGGUUGGCUAAUACUGGAUAGUUCAAGCUUGUUAUAAUGGCAAGAUUGGGAAAGGGAGCUGGCAACAGCCUUCGCAUUUUGAUGAGCUCGCGUCUGAUUAGUUAGUUGGUAAGGUAAUGGCUUACCAAGACGAAGAUCAGUAGCUGGUCUGAGAGGAUGAUCAGCCACACUGGAACUGAAACACGGUCCAGACUCCUACGGGAGGCAGCAGUGGGGAAUCUUGCGCAAUGGACGAAAGUCUGACGCAGCCACGCCGCGUGAGUGAAGAA
rnacentral:rRNA from 1 species